rnacentral:lncRNA from 1 species
CAGGCAUGGUGCAGGAGGAGCUGAGAGUUCUAUGUCUUCAUCCAAAGGCGGCUAGUGGAAGACUGACUCCUAGGCAACUAGGGUGAGAAUCUUAAACUCACACCCACAGAGGCACACCUACUCCAACCAGGUCACACCUCCAAAUGGUGCCACUCCCUGGCCCAAGAAUAUACAAACCAUCACAUUUAUGAAGUAUGUAUUAAUCGUAAUAGCCACAGGUUCCUUUGGUCUACUUUUGUGUACAACAAACCUUAAAGGAAGAUGGCUGAAGACAGGCUAGCCAGGUACAAGCUCCACUUAGGAUAUGCAGUGUCUGAAACGGCUCCGAGGGUAAAUAUAAAAAAGGGACUUUCUAAAUACUAUUUAAGUACUUAUAAGGCAAAUACUGUGUUUGAAUUCUCCUUAAAGGCGUGGCUAGUAAUCAAUGGACUACGUUUCCCAUAGCUCCUGUGGCAGCUUCUCUGCAUUUCCUAGAAGGCUGUUCGCCCUUUGCUCUGGCCCUGAUCAUCCGUGGGAAGAAAAAAUGGCAAUGUAUUCGUCAGCAUUGUUUAAGUCAAAUAUCGUCUUUUGUCCUUUAUCGUUCCCCUAAUCUGGCUUCUGCUCCUUCGCUCGCUGGCUUGCAGAGCCCAAAUAAUCUGAGAAUAGUCUCUGUGGCAACUACAACGGUUUCUAGGGCUACUCGGAGAAGCAGGAGGCUGUCCAUGCCGAAGCAUUCUGGGAGUUGUAGUUCUGGUUCCUUUCCAGGCAACGGCUUGUCUUGCUCUGCCUCCUCCCACACCAGAAGUGAGCAUCAGGUGGUGGCGAGCGCGUAGACAGGGUGAAAGGUGUGAGGGUUAGCGACAGAUCUGCGUAUUCACCUUGCUGGUCACCGGCCACCACCACCUCGGCGCCAAUGAAUUUUCUGUCGCGAGCCCCGCUAACGGCUUGCCGCUGAAAACUCUGGGAAAUGUAGUUAGGCGCGAGCAAGCUGUCGUUAGUUGCAGGUCUGAGGCGGGAACCGGGGCUCCUCAUGUGUUCGCGGCUCGGUUCAGCCUUCCACGAGCUCCUGAAGUUCUGCCAUUCCCCGUGGUCUGCAGUUCAGGAAGCUUCUGGAACAUGCGGCGCCUCUGCCAUGGAAACACGAUCCGCGUCGUCAGCUUCAGAUGUGAUCUUGGAACGCUGGUAAGAGCAGGACCCACAGGAGUCUGUGCCCGCUUUGCCCUAGGCUGAAAGUCAGUUGGACCCUCCACCCACUUCAAACUCUGAGUCUGUAUGGAGCCUGCUGUGGUCCUCACAAAAGGUCCUGAGGAGAUCACCGGAGUAUGGAGGCUCUCCUGUCUGUUAGCUUUAUGUGGCUGUGUCCUCUGUAGCCCCUGAAGAGUUGCUUUAAGACCUCUAUUACACUCUUCUUGGUUAUCAUCCAAUGGCUUCCUAG